rnacentral:rRNA from 1 species
AUUAAACGCUGGCGGAAUGCUUUACACAUGCAAGUCGAGCGGCAGCGCGGGGGCAACCCUGGCGGCGAGCGGCGAACGGGUGAGUAACAUAUCGGAACGUACCUCGUCGUGGGGGAUAACACAGCGAAAGCUGUGCUAAUACCGCAUACGACCUGAGGGUGAAAGCGGGGGAUCGCAAGACCUCGCGCGAUGGGAGCGGCCGAUAUCGGAUUGGCUUGUUGGUGAGGUAAAGGCUCACCAAGGCGACGAUCCGUAGCUGGUCUGAGAGGACGACCAGCCACACUGGAACUGAGACACGGUCCAGACUCCUACGGGAGGCAGCAGUGGGGAAUUUUGGACAAUGGGGGCAACCCUGAUCCAGCCAUUCCGCGUGAGUGAAGAAGGCCUGGUGUAAG